AGAUUCCUGUAGUCAUAAUGCAGAACUCGGUGACACAAGGAAGAUAUUGUUAGCAGAGAGAAAAAAUGGUGACUAAUUGUGCUUGAGAAUGAAGAACAAGGAAAUUCGAUAAGAAUUGGUGGCCAAAGGACCCUACUAAAAUCAGAUGAAAAUUUUUUGUGGUCUAUCACUUUUCCAUUUUUUCUGAUCAUAAAUAUUUGCAUCUCUAAAGCCCAACAUCAGUGUGCAUUCAGCAGGGUCCACACAUCAGUGUGAUUUCUCAGUGUAGCUGUUGGAUUACCCAAUGUUGAAUUCCAUUGCUAAGAAGAAAAAGGGUUGUGAUAAUGCUCUAAGACUAUGUGUGUAAGAUUGAUAGAUAGGUCUUUCCAUAUCAGUACAUGGAAAAUGAAAUGAUAUUGUGCUAAUCUUUUGUUUUGGAGGCAGAUUUGUAUACUUGGAGCACUGAUUUUCUUGGUGCUUGCUUACGUAUAUAGUUUGUAUAGUUUUAAUGUGAAAUGGAACAAUACCAGUGGAACAACAAUGUUGUACUA